ACCAGGAAGAGAAAGUCCGCUCAGGAAGGGU
rnacentral:piRNA from 1 species